rnacentral:rRNA from 1 species
UACAGAGGGUGCGAGCGUUAAUCGGAAUUACUGGGCGUAAAGCGCGCGUAGGCGGUUUUGUAAGUCGGGUGUGAAAUCCCCAGGCUCAACCUGGGAACUGCAUUCGAGACUGCAUAGCUAGAGUAUGGGAGAGGGAAGUGGAAUUUCAGGUGUAGCGGUGAAAUGCGUAGAUAUCGGGAGGAACACCAGUGGCGAAGGCGGCUGCCUGGGCCAGUUCUGACGCUGAGGCGCGAAAGCGUGGGGAGCAAACAGG